UUGACGGUACCGUAAGAAUAAGGACCGGCUAACUCCGUGCCAGCAGCCGCGGUAAUACGGAGGGUCCGAGCGUUAUCCGGAAUCAUUGGGUUUAAAGGGUCCGUAGGCGGGCGGCUAAGUCAGUGGUGAAAGUCUGUGGCUCAACCAUAGAAUUGCCAUUGAUACUGGUCGUCUUGAAUCAAUGUGAAGUGGUUAGAAUGAGUAGUGUAGCGGUGAAAUGCAUAGAUAUUACUCAGAAUACCGAUUGCGAAGGCAGAUCACUAACAUUGUAUUGACGCUGAGGGACGAAAGCGUGGGGAGCGAACAGGAUUAGAUACCCUGGUAGUCCACGCCGUAAACGAUGGAUACUAGCUGUGCGGA
rnacentral:rRNA from 14 species